UACGAAGGGGGCUAGCGUUGCUCGGAAUUACUGGGCGUAAAGCGCACGUAGGCGGAUCUUUAAGUCAGGGGUGAAAUCCUGGAGCUCAACUCCAGAACUGCCUUUGAUACUGGAGAGCUAGAGUCCGGAAGAGGUGAGUGGAACUGCGAGUGUAGAGGUGAAAUUCGUAGAUAUUCGCAAGAACACCAGUGGCGAAGGCGGCUCACUGGUCCGGUACUGACGCUGAGGUGCGAAAGCGUGGGGAGCAAACAGGG
rnacentral:rRNA from 1 species